GACGAACGCUGGCGGUGUGCCUAAUACAUGCAAGUAGAACGCAGUUGCGAACGGGGGAGUAACGCGUAGGUAACUGCCUGGUAGCGGGGGAUAGCUAUUGGAAACGAUAGCGAAUACCGCAUACUAACAGAUGGCCAUGCGUUGUAUUAGCUAGUUGGUGGGGUAAAGGCUCACCAAGGCAAAGAUCCAUAGCGGACUUGAGAGGGUGAUCGGCCACACUGGGACUGAGACACGGCCCAGACUCCUACGGGAGGCAGCAGUAGGGAAUCUUCGGCAAUGGACGGAAGUCUGACCCAGCAACGCCGCGUGUGUGAAGAAGGUUUUAGGAUCGUAAAGCUCUGUUGUAAGAGAAGCGGUAUCUAACCAGAAAGGGACGGCUAACUACGUGCCAGCAGCCGCGGUAAUUC
rnacentral:rRNA from 1 species